CCUACGGGAGGCUGCAGUGGGGAAUAUUGGACAAUGGGGGCAACCCUGAUCCAGCCAUGCCGCGUGUGUGAAGAAGGCCCUCGGGUUGUAAAGCACUUUCAGUGAGGAAGAACGCCUGGUGGUUAAUACCCAUCAGGAAAGACAUCACUCACAGAAGAAGCACCGGCUAACUCCGUGCCAGCAGCCACGGUAAUACGGAGGGUGCGAGCGUUAAUCGGAAUUACUGGGCGUAAAGCGCGCGUAGGUGGCUUGAUAAGCCGGUUGUGAAAGCCCCGGGCUCAACCUGGGAACGGCAUCCGGAACUGUCAAGCUAGAGUGCAGGAGAGGAAGGUAGAAUUCCCGGUGUAGCGGUGAAAUGCGUAGAGAUCGGGAGGAAUACCAGUGGCGAAGGCGGCCUUCUGGACUGACACUGACACUGAGGUGCGAAAGCGUGGGUAGCAAACAGGAUUAGAUACCCGUGUAGUC
rnacentral:rRNA from 1 species